rnacentral:tRNA from 1 species
GAGGGUAGAGCUCAGUGGUAGAGCGCAUACUUAGUGCGCACGAGGUUCUGGGUUCAAUCCUCAGUCCCUCCA